rnacentral:lncRNA from 1 species
CCGGCUCUGCAGUACCAGGCUGUCUGGGUGGGAGGGGAGCCCCAAUAUUUUGCUCCCCAUGGCAGCAUCUCUUUAUCCCUCUGCCAAAAUGGGCCUGUGGGGCACCAGGAAUAAGCUGCCCCCACCCCAAAGUUUGGUAUUGGAGAAGAAGAGUGGCUUGGGUAGAAGGAGCAUCCAAAAACUGUGCAGAAGAUGCAGAAAGGCUUAGCUCAGGAUUGCUAAUAUGUGCAAGACCCCUUCCUGGCAGCCCAGGACGUGCAUCCCUCCUCCAUCCCUCCUUCCCCAAAAAUGCAGCAGCAAAAGCACAGAAAAAUCCCCCCUGGGUAAAGAGAGGGAGCCGCAGCUCGGAGCUGUGGCCGGGCAGGAAAAUCCAUAUCUGCUGCAGAUUUAUUGUCUGUCGCGUGAGAUGUAGCACGGAUAUUUUUAAAACGUGGGCCCAUUAAGCUCUCCAAACGGCUGGCUCACCUGCUAUUUUAACAACGCGCUGUGACACCGGCUCUUUUAUGAGUAUUCCUCCUGGACUUGUUAGCUCUACGCUGUCGCAUCCCAUUCCGAGGGAGGAAAAUGCCAGCAGGGUGACCACGCCGAAAGAGCUCGCUGGGUUUUUACGGGGGAACCAAGCCCAGAAAUGCAGAGGGAGGUGGGGGAGGAAUGGGUAAGUUUGGAAUUAUGUGCUUAGGUGUUUGUUUUUUGUUUUUGUUUUUUUUUUAUCAGAUGCUGGAUGGAGGGAUGAUGGGGCAGGAAGCAAGCAGGAGAAGCCUUCCCUGGGCGCGGGCAGGGCUUUGGAGCACGUCAGUGCUGGCACCCGCUGCUGGAGGAGCUGAGCCAAGGAGGGGAAUGACACAUCCCAGCACAAACAGCCAGGGGAUGACUGCGUGGAGGCGAGGAACGGCAGUGCUUAACCCUUCGGAGAUGAGAGCAGCAGCGAUGCAGCCCUUGGGACAGAUGGCCACAGCCCCAAAACCUGCCAUUUUUGGGGUGCCCCUUGCUGUUGAGUGCACCUAGAGCCAACCACUGCCUUUUGGGAAGAAAUGCCAUUUGGGACGUGAAGAUGGCGAGCAGUCCGGGGAGCCACACUGCAGGUUUGAACUUGUAGAACAUUACUGCUCGUGAAUUAUGGAUAGUGAUUGCACCUCCUGGACGAUAAAUUAUUGAGCUGACAUGCUGGAGGGAGACCACACGCUGGUGCCCUGCGGAGGGGGGGGGAUGUUUGGCUCCCCCUGCUCCUCCCGAAGCUGCGGGAGCCCACCCGGUGCCACCGAGUCCCCCACGAGGGCAGCCACGGGUGACAGCCCCAGCUGGCGGGGGAAAUUUUGGCUCAGCCCUUGGUGCAGACCCGUUGGACAUGGAGCUCCUGGCUCGCUGGGGCUGCUCACACCUCUCCAAUGCACGGAGCUGGGUGUCCCCCUG